AAAAUACACACACACGAAAACAAAGCAAAAAAAAAAAAUUCUGAAAAACCUGAAAGCAUCUGAUUCGAGAAUUCCCAUCUGCUACAAUUUUGAAGAUUCAGAUUAUUUACUUCAUACUUUUCUUCUUGCUCCCUCUUGUCAUUCAUUAUUAGUGUGACUUUUU
rnacentral:ribozyme from 1 species